CGUCCUCGACCUAUUCUCAAACUUUAAAUAGGUAGGAUGGCUCGGCUGCUUCGGUGAGCCGUGCCACGGAAUCGGGUGCUCCAAGUGGGCCAUUUUGCGUAAGCAGAACUGGCGAUGCGGGAUGAACCGGAAGCCGGGUUACGGUGCCCAACUGCGCGCUAACCUAGAACCCACAAAGGGUGUUGGUCGAUUAAGACAGCAGGACGGUGGUCAUGGAAGUCGAAAUCCGCUAAGGAGUGUGUAACA
rfam:Hordeum vulgare subsp. vulgare, WGS project CAJW01000000 data, contig: morex_contig_1514643